rnacentral:lncRNA from 1 species
GCAUUAGAAACAGAACAACAAUAUAAAAACAUUUAUUCAAAAAAAAAAUAAAAAAUAAAAGACAAGAGAAAGAAAUAAGAACAUUAGGUAACUUCCUUGCUCCCUGUGGAACCCUCCACUGUUAGAAAUUUACCGGCGACACACCUCCUAUGGAAUUGUCACGAAUUCUUAAACACAGAGGAAAAUUCAUUCACAAUACAAAAUAAAAUUGCUUCGUGAAUGAACUUCCUCUAUGUUU